UACGAAGGGGGCUAGCGUUGCUCGGAAUUACUGGGCGUAAAGGGCGCGUAGGCGGAUAUCUAAGUUGGGGGUGAAAUCCCGGGGCUCAACCUCGGAAUUGCCUUCAAAACUGGGUAUCUUGAGUUCGGGAGAGGUGAGUGGAACUCCGAGUGUAGAGGUGAAAUUCGUAGAUAUUCGGAAGAACACCAGUGGCGAAGGCGACUCACUGGCCCGGUACUGACGCUGAGGUGCGAAAGCGUGGGGAGCAAACAGG
rnacentral:rRNA from 1 species